rnacentral:rRNA from 1 species
CAUGCAAGUCGAACGGUGAAGCAGAGCUUGCUCUGUGGAUCAGUGGCGAACGGGUGAGUAACACGUGAGCAAUCUGCCCUUGACUCUGGGAUAAGCGCUGGAAACGGCGUCUAAUACUGGAUACGAGCUGCGAAGGCAUCUUCAGCAGCUGGAAAGAAUUUCGGUCAAGGAUGAGCUCGCGGCCUAUCAGCUUGUUGGUGAGGUAAUGGCUCACCAAGGCGUCGACGGGUAGCCGGCCUGAGAGGGUGACCGGCCACACUGGGACUGAGACACGGCCCAGACUCCUACGGGAGGCAGCAGUGGGGAAUAUUGCACAAUGGGCGAAAGCCUGAUGCAGCAACGCCGCGUGAGGGACGACGGCCUUCGGGUUGUAAACCUCUUUUAGCAGGGAAGAAGCGAAAGUGACGGUACCUGCAGAAAAAGCACCGGCUAACUACGUGCCAGCAGCCGCGGUAAUACGUAGGGUGCAAGCGUUAUCCGGAAUUAUUGGGCGUAAAGAGCUCGUAGGCGGUUUGUCGCGUCUGCUGUGAAAUCUGGGGGCUCAACCCCCAGCCUGCAGUGGGUACGGGCAGACUAGAGUGCGGUAGGGGAGAUUGGAAUUCCUGGUGUAGCGGUGGAAUGCGCAGAUAUCAGGAGGAACACCGAUGGCGAAGGCAGAUCUCUGGGCCGUAACUGACGCUGAGGAGCGAAAGGGUGGGGAGCAAACAGGCUUAGAUACCCUGGUAGUCCACCCCGUAAACGUUGGGAACUAGUUGUGG